ACGGAGGGUGCAAGCGUUAAUCGGAAUUACUGGGCGUAAAGAGUACGUAGGUGGUCUACUAAGUCAGAUGUGAAAGCCCCGGGCUUAACCUGGGAACUGCAUUUGAAACUGGUAAACUAGAGUAUGGUAGAGGGGGGUAGAAUUUCUAGUGUAGCGGUGAAAUGCGUAGAUAUUAGAAGGAAUACCAGUGGCGAAGGCGGCCCCCUGGACCAAUACUGACACUGAGGUACGAAAGCGUGGGUAGCGAACAGG
rnacentral:rRNA from 1 species